GACGAACGCUGGCGGCGUGCCUAACACAUGCAAGUCAACUUGACUGAAGGAGCAAUCUGACAGUAGAGUGGCGCAAGGGUGCGUAACGCGUAAGUAACUUGCCCCAAGGUAAGGAAUAACGUCGAGAAAUCGGCGCUAAUACCUCAUAAUGCAGCGGAUCCGCAUGGAUAUGUUGUUAAAGGUUUACCGCCUUGGGAUAGGCUUGCGUCUGAUUAGCUAGUUGGUGUGGUAACGGCACACCAAGGCUACGAUCAGUAACUGGUCUGAGAGGAUGAUCAGUCACACUGGAACUGAGACACGGUCCAGACUCCUACGGGAGGCAGCAGUGAGGAAUAUUGGGCAAUGCUCGAAAGAGUGACCCAGCAACGCCGCGUGGAGGAUGAAGGUAUUCUAUAUCGUAAACUCCUGUGAGAGCAGACGAAAGACAGAUUAUUAAUCUGGAUGACUGUAUGCUCAGAGGAAG
rnacentral:rRNA from 1 species